rnacentral:rRNA from 1 species
AAUAUUGGACAAUGGGGGCAACCCUGAUCCAGCCAUGCCGCGUGUGUGAAGAAGGUCUUCGGGUUGUAAAGCACUUUUGGCAGGGAAGAAAAGGCUCUGGUUAAUACCCGGAGCUGCUGACGGUACCUGCAGAAUAAGCCCCGGCUAACUUCGUGCCAGCAGCCGCGGUAAUACGAAGGGUGCAAGCGUUAAUCGGAAUUACUGGGCGUAAAGCGCGCGUAGGUGGUUUGUUAAGUUGGAAGGGAAAGCCCCGGGCUCAACCUGGGAACUGCUUUCAAAACUGGCAAGCUAGAGUACGGUAGAGGGUAGUGGAAUUUCCUGUGUAGCGGUGAAAUGCGUAGAUAUAGGAAGGAACACCAGUGGCGAAGGCGACUACCUGGACUGAUACUGACACUGAGGUGCGAAAGCGUGGGGAGCAAAC